AUUCGCUGAAACGAACAGGGGGCGGUCCUUCUCCUUUGAAUAUCCCAGAAUCCCUCGCACCGGUCACACGUGUUCAUUGCUCUUCGCUGCAGAGAUCACGCGGUCGUGUGCUGGAGGCAUCAUGAACGGACGCAGCAUGGGCGUCGGUCAUCCAUAUAAACCCCCUUGACUAAAGAAACGUUACACUUUCUAUGCUGUAUUUCCUGUAAAGGUUAUCCAUCUAAACCCACUGUCUGAAGGAACGUUACAAUUUCUGUAUUAUCUAUAAAGGCUCACAUAUUUGACCUCGAGGCAUCCGUUCUAAAGAAUCAGUUACCUGGUUGUCCAUCUAAACCCCCUGACCGAGGAAAUGUUACAAUUUCUAUGUAUUACCUAUAAAGGCUAAUAUUGUUUUGGCCUCGAGGCAAUUUUUUUCUUUCUGAAGAAUUCUUCAACGGUUACCUGCUUCUGAGGUUGACAGUCAGAACUGACCCUUAUUGGAACUGGAGCCAUUGCUAAAAUAGACGUAGCAUCUGCAUUACCAGGACUUCUGCAUUACAACACACGAUGAGAUAUUAACAUUAUCUAACUAACACAAACAACUCUAGAGCUGCAUAGCACAACUGCUUGCGUUUACCACACAUGGAAAGUUUCUUUGUUAAACAACAGAGCUCUGAUCCAUGGCCAUAUAGGUCAGUUUCUUCUGUGCAGUACCCUUGUUUUAAAGCAUUCUACUAGCUAGUGCUGAAAAUUGGUACGAAACAAAACUACAUUUGGUGAGCAUUUCAAAAUAGUACUGGAAGGUUUAACACAAUGUAUUAUAAAUAUGAAUAGUUUUAUUUGUAAGCUUACAAUGUAGACUCAUGCAUGCAUUACUUUUACAUUUGGAAUUUUUUUUUUUUUUGACCUGUAAAAUUCCAACCACAGUACAAUUUCCAGUAAAAAAGAUACUCUGCUGCUUUCAGAAAACAAGAGGUUUGUCAUGUUAAAUAGCAUUAUUCAUGCUCAAUAACUUCUAUUACAAAAGCAACAUAAUGCAUUUAUGUGCAUGCUUUAUUCUGUUGACGCAGGUUUUCUAGAGGGUGGUAUGACUGACGACACUACAGAAGAUGAUAUUAAGACAGAAUGGGCUGAUGUCUGCAUAACUGAAUGACAUGCAGGUGAAGUUCAAUUUACGGGCACAGAAGUGAUUAAUGUCUCAAUUACACAGACUGAUUCUUUAGUUCUGACUGGUUCUUUUACCAUUUUUAUGUGUUAUGAAUUUCAUUGUGAUUGAAGGAACAGACAGGAGGAAGAGGAAAGUACGUAAUUAUGAUAAUGGAGAUUUUAAAAAGGGAGUGAACAAUUCCAACUGUUCUCUGAGGAAACAGGUUUUGCCCAAAUGCAUGAGCACAACACCCAAACUCUUCAAGAUUUAGUAUGCCUCUGCACAGGAAGACAACUAUUCUACUAUUCAUUCAAGGAACGAUACUAAUGUUCUGAAUUUUUUUGCCUCAGUAACAGGGCUAGUGAUAGGGUAGAUGUAGCUAAUGUUGAAUGUCGCAGAAUGUUCCGAUGGUCUAUUUAAGCGUUUCACGAUUGGCUGGUUUUCACUGGUGUGGUGUACUUGUGAAUCACUUACAAUUGACCCAUAAACAAUUAAGAUGUUUGGAAACACUGUGCCUCAGUACAAGUUGUUUUCAAUUGGCUUGAUUGAGUAAUGGACCGUAAUUAUGAACCGUUGUGGAUUUUGUUCUUCUAAACAUUGUGAGUGUAGCUUUGCACUGUAAAGGCAACAAAAACCAACUAUGUCAUGAAAUUUAAAUCCAAACAAGAACAUUGUGAUCUAUUUUUGGCUUGUGUCAUGGAUGGAGGGAUUGAAGAGCUGGGCCAUGCUCACAGGAAUGUGACUGGAUCUGAACAUGGUGCCAGUCAGCUGUCAUUCUGGUACAUGUCUGGUUACUCUGAUGUGACCCAGAUGAGAAAUGUGGUACAGGGUUAGAUAUUACGGGCCACAUUCAGGCAGAGCUACAUGUUUUUGGCAGAGAGAGCGGUUCCUGAGGUAAGGGGUUUCAGGACUAAACAACUUGGACGUUUUUCAGACGGGAACGACAAGAUGUGUUUGGAUAACACAGCAAUGAAAAACUACUACCCUUCAUCGAGGGGUGCCAGAGCAAGUAUAUUUAUAUACAGGCUACUUUGUUUUGGAUGCCCCAACAUGAGAUGCUGGUAUGCUUGGUCAUCCAGUUUCAUCAGAAAGAUAAAUCAGAACGACGUUUUUUUACUGGACCAGCUAGACUGAACUAGCAUAAACCAGCUUGUACCAGGCAUCACAUAAACAAACUCUGUCACUGUCUCUGAUACAGAAACAUGCUUCCUUCUUUUCCCGCUCGCUGUCCCUUUGUGUUUUCUCACAUGAACGAUGAUCGCUUUCAUCUAGUGCAACCCACAGUUUUACAUAUUCUCUGUCAAACGCACAAGCCCUUUGAAGUCUGCUGGUAAACGGAGAAAAAGCUUUUUGACCUUCUCUAGGUCACUGAUGGAACAAAGAGCUGAAUUAUGUAGGUCCCUUUUACAUUUCUCAGGACAAAGCAAAAAUUCAUCGAUGUCAGACACACAUUUCACCUCGUCUUGCUCUAGCAGAGGUAUAACUGGACAGAUGCCAUACUGUUCUUUAAAUGGUCUUGUUUCACUUUUUCAGACUGGUUUGAACCAGGUUUCUUUGUCACAUUUGACAAUACAAUACUAAGAGUGUAAGCAGUGUAACCCUGUGAGCAGGCUAUAUAGUCACACUCAGAUGAUGAAGGCCUGAGAAAAUAUUAUUUUGAACACUUCAGAAGAAUACAUAUCCUCAUAUUGUGUGAUUUACAUUUAUUUGCAUGUAAAAAAUGCACAAUAAUCCCUCACAUUGAUCUUGGUCUCAUCUUAAGAUAAGCAUGCUAAAGCUAACAGCGACAACAGAUUUUCGAUUGUAAACAUCAUCAUUUUGAGCUAAACAGUAAAAGUUACUUUGUAAUGAAAAAAAAAACUCCAUUCUUUAAAAAAUCAUAAACUAGAUGGCAGGCAGUGUAUUGCAGAUAGGGGCCUUUAAUGAAUUAACUUUAUGUUAAACUUUAUAAGUUAAAGUUGUGUAAUUUAUGAUUAAUUUCUUCCCCCUUCAUUAACUAUUGUUUUUAUUGAAUAUAUAUAAUUCUUAAUAAUUAAAUCUGGAUAAAAAGAAAAUGAACAUGGGUUAGUGAUUUAAUAUCAACACAAAAUAAUAUAUAACAGCUAUGUCAUAACUACAGCAGAGAUACUAUAGAGGACAUCCUAUCCAAUAUAAUGGUAGAUGUUCAAACUAUGUAUUAUAUGAUAACCUAGAGAAAGACUGGUCUAUAGUGUAAGUGCAGUGUAUGGAUGAUGGCAGUAAUAGUAUGGGCAGUAUGUUAUUCUGAAUCAAGUCAGUGCAUGUAUACUUAGGCCUAUCAGGUAUUCAUGUGACCAAAUCACUUAAAACUAAGGUGAACUGAACUUUAAAAAAACGUUAAAAAGAAAAAGAUUUCCAGGACUUUUAUGCCUUAAAAGAGCCAAAACUGAGACGUUCAGAUUUACUUUCAAGUGUUUGGACUAGAAAGUGAGAGUUGCUGCCAGAACGAAAGGUCCAAAAUGCAGGGCAUUAGUAAGCUCUGUCAAUCAUGAGUAAUGCUGAUAGACUCUGUGUAUGUUGAGCAUGUGGUUUUGAUUUUAUGUUCUGUACCUUCUCACAGACGCUGAUUGUUCAAAGGAGCAGAAUGCAGGCAAAACCACAUUUAGUUAUAAGAAAUUUGGGUCCGACGUGGGACACUGAGCACUCCAGCACUGUAGAUAACUCAUGAAUGCUCUUAGAUUUAAACAUCCUUUAACUUGCUAUUUACAUUACCUCAUAUAAAUUGUUCAUAGUUUCUCCUUUUGCCAAGUGUUGUGGUAGAUUUAGGAUUUCAUUGAGCAUGAGUGGUUGUUCAAUCCAUCUCACAGCUUGAACAUAAAAAUGUCUGCCAGCCUUUCAGAAAAUUAAUUAGUUUAUUAUGUCAUUAUGUGUAUUUAAUCAGACAGCACUUUCCUUCUGUAUAGCUUUGGGGGAAAUACUGCAGGUAACAGACAAAACCGUACAUAUUUCUAAAAUAAUAUGCAGUGAAUUAACAUGCAUGUGCAUUGUUCAACAGACCAAGUACAAAGUUUGCAAGAUGGCCUACAGAUGAAGAAUCUGACAAACAAUGGAUAUGUUUGUAAUGAUGCAACAAAAUUCACACUCUUCAUAGCAAUUAGGCAAUUAUUUUUCAAUGCUAAUAGACUUUGUGCUUGUUUAUUCUGUCUAUGCCAACAAUUUAAACUCCUUACGGUUCAUUAAUCUGAUCCUUUUUUAUGUAUACUGUAUGAAUGAAUUUAUGUUAUUUAUGUAUUUAUGACUGAAUAGCCAUUUAUAGUUUUGUUGUGGAAGUCUAGAUCAAUGAUUGAUAUUAAAUUUGGACCCCCAAAUGUAAAUCUCAUGGGAAAUAUGAAAUAAAAUGCUAACACGGGUUGGGCUGUGCUAUGACAGCUAAUUAGGUUCAGAUCAUCUUGAUGUAGUCGCUAAGGAAAUAUUCAAUGUGUUUACUGAAAUGAAGACAUAAAAGGUGGUAGAGGCAAAGUAGUUCAAGUAUGCAAUAACAAAUCAAAACAUCAAAACCUUGCAAAGGGAGGUGUGAAAAAUGAGGAGGGGUGAUGCAUGUCAAAUCCAGCGAAGCUGUGAGGUGUGUGUGUGUUUCAACCAGAAGACAAAGUGUUCCCAAAGAUCCAUCUGCAAUCCAUCUGAACGUGCCCUGCUGUGUCUUAAUUUAUAAACACACAGAAUAUUUGUGUAUGCAUGAGUUCAUGACCGCUGUGACACCUCUCAAGCAUAAAACGAAUGGCAGAGAAAGUUAAAGAGAGUGUCCUAGUUCAGGUGUACAGUUUUAGAAACAGUGGUAUUCUAUUCUGUUCACGCAUGGGCCUGUAGAUCGACAGAAUAUAUGUGUACAUUUUUUGAGUUAUUGAGAAACUGUAUUACGUAUUACAUGCUAAAGCAGACAUGCUUUUCUGUAACCCGGAAAAUGUCACAUUGCAUAGUUUUAAGAAUGUCGUUUCAUGUUGUUUUUAAGUGCUUGGAUAAAUUAUGUUCAAUAAAAGGAAGAGAAAAUAGGAUCAA